UGAGCUGUUGGUGCUUUUCAUGAAAAGAUUGAAUAUACUUCAAUUUAUUUUCAAAGGCUUUUAUUUGCUUAAUUGAAUUUUUAAGACCAUAAUAGGAUUGUUCCUCUUUUAAACUACCGGAGAUUCGUAAAAAAUCUUUUAAACGAAUAUAACAUAAAGACAAUAUGUCAGAAGAAACCGCGGUUCUGUGUGAAAAGUCUACAUUAGAAAGGCUUAAAGCCCCUAAAGCUGGAAGCAGUCGAGAAAUAAGUUUUAAUAAGUCCUCAGUUAUAAAAUUAAUAAAAUCUAAAACUCUCGUUUCGGGAUAACCAGUAUUUCUCCAUUUCUUCGAAAAAGUCGAGUACAACAAGGCUGCUGAGAGUUGAAGAGAUUCAAGAGUGGAAGAAGAUAGAAAAAUGUCUAGGGAGAUUUCCUUAAAAAGGGCGUCUAUUUUCCCUACCUUGUCAACAAAACACUGUAUAUUCGUUUCUGAAUUGAAAGAAGCAAUCGUGUGGAAUCGUUUACCAAACGCUAGAAUGUCCAAUACAAAAAGAACAGGCCUG